GGUGAGAAUCCCGUAUGUGACUGGAAAUGUUAACCUAUGUAAAGCUCCUUCGACGAGUCGAGUUGUUUGGGAAUGCAGCUCUAAAUGGGAGGUAAAUUUCUUCUAAAGCUAAAUAUUGGCGAGAGACCGAUAGCGCACAAGUAGAGUGAUCGAAAGAUGAAAAGCACUUUGGAAAGAGAGUUAAAAAGCACGUGAAAUUGUUGAAAGGGAAGCGCUUGCAAUCAGACUUGUUUAAACUGUUCGGCCGGUCUUCUGACCGGUUUACUCAGUUUGGACAGGCCAGCAUCAGUUUCGGCGGCCGGAUAAAGGCUCUGGGAAUGUGGCCUUCACUUCGGUGAAGGUGUUAUAGCCCAGGGUGUAAUACGGCCAGCCGGGACUGAGGUCCGCGCUUCGGCUAGGAUG
rnacentral:rRNA from 1 species